rnacentral:tRNA from 4 species
GCGUCUGAAGCUAACUAGGUAGAAGCGCUGGGUUGAAAUUCCAGAGGACUUGGAUCGUUACCAAGCAGAUGCACCA